CCUCCUUAAUUAUCAGUUUCCCUUUGCAAUAGUCUGAGGAUCUUAUACUCAUUCUUGGGAAGCAGACAAUUUGUCUAUUUUUUUUUCUCCCGAUCAUGGGUAUUUGGGUUGAUCUUUGUAGGAGGAAACACUAAUGGUCUAUUAUACUUCACCGGUUCAAUUUUAGGUGCCAGAAUGUGUAUUUUCUGUCUAGGACCUGUUUUCACCUGCUAGUACAGAAAAUAGUUAACCUUUUCUAGGAAAGAAAAUCCUUUCUUCUUGCUGAGUUAAAAACCUUGCUAUUUUUUAAAUUUAAGUUUCUUGAGACUGAAGAUGUUCUUGCAUUUUUAAGCUUUUCCUACAAUAAUUUGAAGUUUGCCCUGGGAGAAUGACUAGGUGUAUGUGCUGCUUUAACGGUUUUAUUGAGGAUGGCCCUUUAUUUGAUGAACCCAUAGUUAAAGAGUUGGAGCGAAAAUUAUGAAAAAAAACUUUCAUCAAAAAAGCCCCUUGGGUGUUUGAAAUCGUUGUGGGGAGAACCUUCUAAGUCUAUUUGUCAAUGCCUUGGCAAUUAUCUUAUACACGUCACAAGAUUGAUAGGUCUAAACUCUUUAACCUUCGUGGCCUUUUUCUUUAUUAGGAAUAAGGAAAACAAUAGUUUCAUUCAAAGAGCUAUCUAGGAGGUCUCUCUCAUAAAACUUAUUGGAGACUCUCCAAAGAUCCUCCUUGAUAAGCACCCAGUUAUCUUGGAAAAAACCAUGGGAAACCCAUCAGGGCCUAAAGCUUUGUUUCCGUCACACUCAAACACCACUCUUCUAAUUUCCUCGAGGGAGAAAGCAGAGUCUAACAAACCUUUGUCAGUGAAAGAGAUAGGACUCCUGUGCACCCCAUCCCAGAAUGGUCUAGGAACCACCACUGCACCAUACAGAGACGGAAAAGAAAAAAGAAAAAGAAAAAAAAAAGAAGAAAAAACUUCCUCCUCAAUCUCCCUGUUCCCUUUCAGCACCAAGUCAGCCUCAUUCUCAUGAGAGCUAAUAAAAUAUUUAUUCCUUCUACAACUAGAAAUUCUGAAAAUAAGUCAUAUUACAAUUUCAUUCACUCACCCAUUUAACCUUCGUUUUCUAUCCCUGACUCACACUUUCCUUUCUAACAAUUUCCACAAACAUGGUCUUUAUUUCCAAACGCUCCUCCUUACAAGGCUUUAAGCCUCCCCUCAAAAUGGUGCAAGACUGAAUCCUCUUACCUUACUUGUAUGGAAGCUUAGUCCGCCUCACUUGCUUUCUUUAUUGCAUAAUGAGCAUAAAUGAAGUCACUGAACUUCCUUCUAACUAGUGGUUGAAAGUAAGCAAGCCACCUUUAUUUCACAAAUUUGUGGUCAAGUCAAUAACAUGCUCUAAGUCGGGAAUCUUUGCCCUUCUCUAUUUCAUUUCCGCUGCUUGUGUUUUUUUUGUGUCCAUUCGUAUCACAAAGCUGGUCAAUGCUAGCUGUAUGAGGAGAAACUUCUUAUAUAGUUUUGGUGAUAUUGUUAAUUUCCAUCUAUCCCAAUAUGUCAUUUUUAAAAUCAUCGCAAUUGAUGUAUGAUCUUGAAGAGAAGGAAUAAAUCUUCAUAAAUUGGGGUUUUAUUAUCCAAUUAAGAAUCGAACCUAUUUAUUGUUCUCCUUCACCCAAUCUAGUGCUUGAGCUUCCCUAAUGCUUGUUGCUUAAUUCUUAAGUUAAAAAUAAAACUUUUGAUUCCAAAAUUUUAACACCGCUUUAAGAGCCCACAACUUAAUAAAGCCACAACCAUCCUGUUAUUGUCAGCCAACAUGGCAGCAUCAUUUAGAAUGUAUUAUUGGUCAUAAAGGCAGUUCCAAAGACUCGUGGAAAAAUAUUUAGUUCAACUUCCUUUGUUUUUAGUGUAAUAGGAGAUGAGAGAGAUGCUUACUUUUGGGAAGCAUAUGUGAUUGGGGGAUAGACCCCUCGGUUACAUCAGUUGUUGUCUUUGAAGAAUCAUUCAGUGACUUCAAUUCUUUCUCAUUACGAGGUGAGGAUUCCCAAGAAGAUUAAGUUCUUUGUAUGACAUGUUUUUAUAUGGAAGAGUUAAGACCUUUGAUUGGGUCUUGGAAAGAGGGUUCAUGUUGGUUGGGCUGCUCUUUUGUAUUCUUUGUAGGAGGGCAGCAAAGGACCUUGAUCAUCUUCUAUGGAGAUGUGAUUAUGCUAGUGCCGUUUGGAGUUGUUUCUUUAAGUGUUUGGUUUUUGCUUUACCAACUUUUAGGGCUGUAGAGAUGAUUGAGGAUCCCCUUCUCCAUUCUUCUUUUUGCGAGGAAGUUUUUUUUUUUUUUUAAACUUUUUAUUUUUAAUUUUAUGUGGUAGGUUGUGCUA